GUGGAAGCCACGGGGAUGUUUAAAACUACGUUCCAACCAACUGAAACCGUCAUCAGUGCAGUAAUACUUCUUCUUUUGCUUCGGAAUCCUCUUCCAACACAAACUACAAUUCCAGUAUGAAUUUGGAUUUGUCCAUACCUGAAGCCAAGUCCAGCUGCAAAGCUCCUCUGUGCAUCAUCAGACCAGGAACCUAAAUUCAAGCAGAGGACCAGCUGUCAGUCCAAGAGCAAGCCUCCCAAAAGGACUGUCCUCGGGUAGGCCCUUGUCUGAGCUUUGGAGAUGAGAUUCCUGGAAUGGAAGGACUGGGCAGUGAUCAUACAGCAAGGGUGUGGAACCCUUUGGCCUGAAUGUAUGCGUCCAGUUCAGUGAUUUGACUGAUUUGUGCUCAGACCUAGAGUCUAGCCUUUUAGGCCGCAUUCCCACUUAUGGUUCGGUGCUCUGGUCAGCACAACAUUUUUUUUUAAAAGAUACUUUUGUGCAGUUGGCUUAGCAUUCGCACUGGUAUUUUUGUCAUAGGAGCAAAUGCUGUCUGCACAGCAUUUGCUCCUAUGACAACAAUAUGACAAAAGAACAUACAGUAUGCAUAAAGUAAGGACUUGUUUGGGCAGCUUUUGUGACAUAUUACGUGAUGUAACUCAAAUAUUCCAAACCAAAGUGUGAACGCACUCUUACUAUAUUUACAAAUGAAUAUCUAUCUUAAUUGUGUUGUUCAUAUGUAUUUUUAAGCUGCAACACAUACAGUAUAUACAGUAACAAAGCUGGAAUUAAAGUCAAACUUUUUGAAAGCCUAAUUUUCCUUCAGUAGACAUGAAAGCAAGAGUGUCCUAUAAAACCGCUCUGCUGUGUUUGAAUCAUUAUUAUUCUCUUUUCCAGCCCUGUGAUUUUAACUUAUACCUGCCCAUAUCUGCAUGGAAUGGUUUGGUCCUGCCUUAGCGCACAGACCGGUGAUGGUGCUUUGUAGCGGCCAGAGUGCUACAAAGUUGCCUGGUAAAAUAUAAUUUGGUUUUCUAAAAGGAAAGAGAGAAAGGGGAGAAAAGAGAGGCAAAAGAAGGGUGGCUACUACUAGGGGGGCCAACCGUUCCUUGAAAAACUGAAAUGUCCCGUAUCUUUUUGAGCUCAAAAGAGGUGUCAAACGUAAAACGUCAAUGGAAUUAAUGAAUGACAGAAGGCUUUAUAUGGGAAUUUAAUGGCAAACUCUUCCAUUCCAUUUCCACUCCGUCACCCGACCGCGAGAAGUGAAUUUCAAUGAAGUAUGAUUCAGUAUUAAUAAACUGAACAUUUUUGUAGUUAGAGCAUAGAAAACCUGUUUAUGCCUUUAUAAAUACAAUCCUUACCAUUAUUAGACCUCUGUAGACAUAAAAUAACACCCCUGUAGUCACCUUUACACUCCUAUUAUUCUUUGUUUACACCACAUUGCUCAACUGUAAUGCACAGGCUACGGGAUCACUGCAGGGACACAAGGGACGGCCAUGGCUUUAACCAUUAGCAAGCUAGCGAGCUAACUACUUAGCCUCCAAUUUAUUUACUGUAUUCUAAACUUAAGAAAGGGUUUAACACGGAGUGGGGAAAGAAGCCAAAAAUUUACCACUUCCACAUGAAAUGAGAGAAGAACUUCUUUUCACUCUAUCCUGUCGGACAUGCCAUGGCUGACUCUAUGCAGUGUGACAGUAAACAAAUGUCAUAUUUCAAUAAUGGAACAUUACUGAUGCCUACUGGCCAAAAUACUACUUUGAGUAAUUAUACGCCAAAGACAAACUGCGAAAGAGCGAUAAUUGAACCGAGAUAUUGCGAGGGACGGCUGUACUCGUACUGGUCUCCAAAACAUUUCUUAGGCUCAGGCUUAGGCUUAAGCUGGAACUGUGGUUGGGUCUUUUGCUGGCCCAUCCACACAGUUGGUUGAAGUGGAGAUGAGAGAGGCCAGAGAUUCUGUUGAAAGUCACUCACUUUCUGUGAGUGACUUCGCCAGAGCAGAAUCCGUCAUCGUUGGCUUCAGUCAGUGGGCAACAUCCUUAGAAGAAAUCGCUUCAUUGGGGAGUGGAGGAGCAGGGACAAGGAAAACCAGUGACAUCUAUAGGCUGGAUCCUGUGUUGCAGGAUGACAUAUUGAGUGGAUCGAAGACUCAGUAGGUCAGCUUUACCUGAGGAGCUAAAACAUCGUAGUCAUGUUUUGCAAUAUGUCAUUCUCAUUCUGCAAUAUGUUCAUCAACAACUUAGCCAUGUUGGGAGAAAUCACAUGCUGCCAAUCUUUCGACCUGUUUUGGAAGAGGUGGAUAAGGGAUUACUUACCAUAUGGGCCGCAUUUGUAGCGGACCAUAGCCAAGCUGCUCUCGCUUCAAGAAGCAGUAGAAACACCACGACCUGACGUUUGAGCCACGUGUUGGACCCACAAGGAAGACGAGAGACUACAUUGUUUUGUGACUCCUUUUAUGCAUUGAUGUGACUGUUCUAUUGUUACAGUUUUAUACAUGAGUAGGAGCCACAUCUGUUUUUGUCUUCCAUGUAUUACAUCAGGUCUCCAUGGUGGCAGUAUGUGUUCUCUUUAUAAGCGCAGGUGCAGGGGAGGCACGGGGUGGAACAUCAUGCAGUUUUUACAACUGGCUUGCUGGCUUGCUAGCUUGGCUCAUGCACCACUUUUUGUUUCUCGCAACAUCACAUCAUCACAUUAUCCGUUCCUGUUUUGUAUUAGUCUAGUCAUGCUUUUGGUGUAACCUUGGAGCAUUAAAUGGGAACACAGUCUACCACACCCGUGCACCAGUGAUUCCAGGAAGCCAGUAUAGCCACUAAAUAUGGAUUUUUUAUUACUGAAUCAGCUAUCUGCAAAUUAUAAUAAGUUUUAUUAAAACACAUGAUUUAUUAUUUACUGUACUCCCCUGUUCCCUGGUACAUGUUCAGCACAGGAAGUUAACUUGAGACACAGAGAAGGGGUAGGAUUAAAUAAUGGUGGAAGUGAAAACGUGAUGCGCUUCAAUGUAACUUUGUUAAGCAUAUUAGAAAGAAGCCAUUAGCAUUGCCAUUAAUGUAACGGUGGUGGAUCUGUAAUUCCUGUUGCAAGUAUCAUACGUGAUUAAACUGCAUACAGUACGUCAUGUCCUCUUACGCAUUAACUUUAUGCCAAUGAAUUCUCUCUUGGAGUCGCGUGGUCACAAACACAGUCAGGAUCUGCACCCCCAGUACAACCGCAACAAUGGUGCCGAUCAGGCCCUGGUGCUGCUGCACCCACCGCGAGAUUUCCCCCAGACACCCUCCCAGGAAGAUCACACUCUGAGCGCUGAACUCAUCCAGCGUUUGGGCUCCCAGGCCGCACUGAGAGUUCCACACGGUUCCGUUCUCCAGUGGGUCCAAGCAGCAUGUGGCUGGAACACCGCAGGCCAGAACUCCUGGGGCGGAGCAGUUGUAGUAUCUACAGGAAAGGAAAAGAUGGAUUUUAAAAGUCCCUGUACGUGUCCGCCCCACAGCACUGCAGAUUGGACUGGAGCUCAUCUGUGAUGAACCUCAGAUCCAAAUCGUCCUGGUAGCCGGCUAUGGCAGCCAACAUCCCUGACCGCAGAACAUUCCCGAUCUCCCCUUGGACGGUAUACACCACGAUGAGGGCCAGCACCUGGGCUGUGAUGAGCACCAGCAGCGUUCCGGAGAACACCUUCAGCAGGCAGUCAUUUUCCCGUAAGGCUCCUACGCAACCUGACAGGCAGAGCAAAGUCAGCAGGAGGCCAGCAGUCACCAGCAGCAGCAUGGGGUCGGUGCCGAUGCUUCCGAUCCUCUCCUGAGCGAAGGAUUCUUUGCUGAUGAGGCCCCACAUCCCCAAACCGAGGACAAGCAGGCCCAUAACGGAGAACAUUAGGUUGCUUAGAACCAGGAGGUACUUGAGGAAGUAGUCAGUGAAAGAAUAAAUGCAGUAGUGGGGGUGGAUUUGUUUGGAUACAGGCUCCUUUUCGUCACUUGCACCCAACUGGUGGAGUU